rnacentral:other from 1 species
UGCUUUUACCUGGUGCCAGUUAUUUUCUUUUAUUCGGGGAAGCAGUGAGGAAGGUAUCAAAGAGUAGCAGACUUUUAAACUUUAGACAGUUUUUACUCAGAAGCUUAUUUUUCUGUUUUAUUUCAUCCUCCAAGGAGUGCAUUCACUUGACACAUCCGCUUCUUUUAAGUGAAAGAAUACAGCAAACAAG